UACGGGGGGUGCAAACGUUGCUCGGAAUUAUUGGGCGUAAAGCGCACGUAGGCGGUCCUGUAAGUCGGGUGUGAAAGCCCCAGGCUUAACCUGGGAAGUGCACUCGAAACUGUAGGGCUUGAGUAUGGAAGAGGGUCUCGGAAUUCCCGGUGUAGAGGUGAAAUUCGUAGAUAUUCGCAAGAACACCAGUGGCGAAGGCGGCUCACUGGCCCGGUACUGACGCUGAGGCACGAAAGCGUGGGGAGCAAACAGG
rnacentral:rRNA from 1 species